rnacentral:rRNA from 1 species
AACGAACGCUGACGGCAUGCCUAACACAUGCAAGUCGAACGAGACCUUCGGGUCUAGUGGCGCACGGGUGCGUAACGCGUGGGAACCUGCCCUUAGGUUCGGAAUAACUCCCCGAAAGGGGUGCUAAUACCGGAUAAUGUCUUCGGACCAAAGAUUUGUCGCCUUUGGAUGGGCCCGCGUUGGAUUAGCUAGUUGGUAGGGUAAAAGCCUACCAAGGCGACGAUCCAUAGCUGGUCUGAGAGGAUGAUCAGCCACACUGGGACUGAGACACGGCCCAGACUCCUACGGGAGGCAGCAGUGGGGAAUAUUGGACAAUGGGCGAAAGCCUGAUCCAGCAAUGCCGCGUGAGUGAUGAAGGCCUUAGGGUUGUAAAGCUCUUUUACCCGGGAUGAUAAUGACAGUACCGGGAGAAUAAGCUCCGGCUAACUCCGUG